rnacentral:rRNA from 1 species
UUGAAUUGAAGAGUUUGAUCAUGGCUCAGAUUGAACGCUGGCGGCAGGCUUAACACAUGCAAGUCGAACGGUAACAGGAGGAAGCUUGC